UUGAUCAAAUGUUUGAAAAGGAACACGGGAUAUACCCGUAUCCCUUCCCCAGAUCGCAUCCUUCAACCCUAAACCCGAAUAUUUGUUCCAGCCGCCACUACUCCUCAUCUCACCACUCCGAUCGGGCAUGGAGGUCGCCUACAGCCUCGCCGGCGAGCGCCACCACCAUGGGUAGGGUAUCUCCUAGUCGCCGCAAUGUCGAUGUACCGUCCACCGCUCGCUACCGUGCUCUUGAAGCACUGUCACCACCACCCGCUGCCAGCAACACCAAGAACCACCGAGGGAUGCAUUGAAGACCGAGGGAGGUGCUGUGUGCGUCGUGUGAGGGUCAGGAACCACCGGAAUCGCAUGGUCUUCUUUGGAUAGGAACCGGAAAGAAAGAUCCACCAUUGCCGCUGCGUGCCGUCGUUCCACCGCUGGCUGCCGCCACGAGCCACCAUCGGCCACCAUGGUGUGGUUGUGUGUGUGUGUAUUAGUUAAUGUGUGUAUUAGUUAGUGUGUGUAUUUUGGAUAAAAGCCUUGUAAUUUUAAUUAGCAUGGAAUAAUGAAAAUGAACCAAACCACCAUCGUGAGGUGGUGGCCGCCGCCGCGAGCCGUCUUUGACCACCACUACCCGAGGUGGUAGUGGGUGGUGCCCCACUAGCAAAACCUAAUGGGCUUAUGGAUUAGUUUUGGGCCUAUUGGGCCAUGUUUGGGUGGAAAACCCUAAUUGUGAGUAUUUGGGCCUUAGACUUAUUGGGCCCACUUGUGGGCCAUUAGGAUUGGAUUGUGAAUUAAGCCCAAAUUAUUCCAUGCCAUUUAUCUAGUAGAGUAAAGGAAUUAAUGGAUCAAGUUCUUAAUGGGCUAA